UGUGGGAGGGGGCUUGCUCCCGAUGGCGGUGUAUCAGUUACAGAGGUUGUGACUGAUCCACUGCUAUCGGGAGCAAGCCCCCUCCCACA
rnacentral:misc_RNA from 1 species